rnacentral:lncRNA from 1 species
CAAGUAUUAAUCCUAAAUUAAACCCCAUUAAUCUCCCUUAAUCCUCCGUCUUGAUUAUCCAAUUCUCUUAUAUACAUCUGUAGUUCAGCUUACAUUUCCCAAUAUUUUUGCGAAAAUGCCGGGUUUAGUUUCAGUUAAAUCCCCGGCGGAGGCUCCGCCGUUGCGAAUCGCUGUACCCGAUGAGCCACACACCCCGAUCCGACCGGAAUCCAUCAGAUCUGAACCCACUAUCCCGAAAUCCAGCUCCCCGGUUCCUCGCCGUCCGCCCUCCCCCUCCCCGUCCAAUUCUCGCGCUAAACCUUCUCCUGAUCGGAGUUCCGGCAAGAAGAAAUCACCUCCAGAAAAGAACCUUCUUGACGAAUCCUCCCUCGACAAUCCGGAUCUCGGCCCGUUCUUGCUCAAGUUAGCCCGAGAUACGAUUGCUUCAGGCGAGGGCCCGAAUAAAGCCCUUGACUACGCGUUGAGGGCAGCGAAGAGUUUUGAGAGGUGUGCGGUUGAGGGAGAACCGAGCUUGGAUUUGGCGAUGAGUUUGCAUGUUGUGGCGGCGAUUUAUUGCAGUUUGGGGAGGUUUGAGGAGGCGGUGUCGGUUUUGGAACGGGCAAUUAAGGUGCCGGAGGUUUCGAGAGGUGCGGAUCACGCGCUGGCGGCGUUCUCUGGUUACAUGCAGCUCGGGGACACGCAUUCGAUGCUCGGGCAGCUGGAUCGGUCCAUUGAUUGUUAUAAGGAAGGAUUG